GUUACCGUUUUUACUUUCUUGCUGCUGGCCUCCCGGGCUCUGUGCCUCUGCAGCAGCUCUUUGACUGUGGUCUUCACUCGGACGCCCUGGUACACCCUCGGCUUAUCUGCAUGAAGAGAACAGCAUGUCAUUCAUGUUUACCAAACACCCUCCUUGGAGCAGACAAUACCAAACAAACUCUUCUCCUCUCCCCAGCCCCCAAACUCCUUCUCCCUCCUCCCGCAGCUUAAGCCCAGCAUUUGUUUUCCUCCCUCAAAUAUAUUUCUUUUAAAUUUAAUACAUUUCCCCUAAUAAACUGCAGUCUCUUCCUGAAAUGAUUAUGUCGCUAUAUUAUUUGACACCCUACCAAUUGUUGAAUGCACGGUUUUGUGGUAGCAGACGUUGGUAACACAUAUUGCAUGUUAUAAUAAUUAACGAACUGUAGUUUGAGCUAUGUGUAGGGCUUUAGUGUGUAAAGAUUUGUCCGAAUCCGCGGUGCGUAAAAGUGCGUUAUUAGCGCUCAGUGCGCACUGCGGCUCUGGGUGUGUCCCGACCCCAGAGACCCCAGUGCUCCCGGUCAGGGCUCCCUCUUUACGGCACCAAAGGCUCUGCGUCUCCUGUUACGCGGUCAGCAGACUCUCACUGCAGUCUGUGUAUGAUCCGCGCUGCCGAGCCACCCCGCCCAGACCAGGAACAAAAGAAAGCGGCACAAAAUGCGUUACGGAAAAAAUGCUCCAAAAUCAUUUCCAGCUGAAAAUCCGACGUGAAACUCACCAGACAUGAUGGCAGAGAUGAGAAGAGGCUCCCUGGAGAAGACCUGUGGGACUCCACAACGUCCUGUUCUGCCUCAGCAAAAUGGCCAAGAACGAAAUUUGCGCAAAAGUCUCCAAAAAUCUCAACAGAAAUGUCUUACAGUAGAGUCAGAGCAUACAACAAUAUUGUAAUAUAGCUGGGGACAUAUUAGUUUGAGAUUUUCUCCCUCCAUGCCUACUAUUUAAAACCCCUAGAACUCAAUGAUUUGACAAUGAUUUGAUUGCGCGUUACUUUCAAUUUGAAUAUUCAGAGGCAACUGACUUAUAUAGAUUUUUCAAUGAAAAUCACUACGCGUGGAGAUCGUAUAAGCUCCACUUUAAUGUAAUAUAAUAGUGUUUUACACUUUGACCAAAAAGAAACCAUACUUUUAUUAAAUUUUAUCCUCCUUUUGCAUUAACAGAGCAUCACACCCCCUCAUUAAGCACUACAGCAAUGGAUGCUUCUUGUGCGCAUUUCAAACACCGCAAUUCACUUUAAUCUGCGAUCACAGGUCUCAUGCGGCCACUCCGCAUUCAAACAAUAUGUCCAAACAUAUUUUUGAGCUUUAUUUCAGAGAAAAAUGCAGAAAAGUGGGACAUAAGUGGGCGUGGCAAAGGGCAGUAGCCAUCUUUGCCAUCGCAGGCCUGAAGCUCCUCUUGCAGCUGCAGUGCAGUCGCCUGCUGAGUGCUGCACGAGCCUCAGCAGCUCGCAGCUUUUUCACGACUAUCUUUUAGAAGCUUUUAUUUAUUCAAAUUAAAAAAAAAAAAAUCACAAUCAUUACAAUGCUGCCUGUGAAGAUCCCCUGUUUGGCAGAGUGUCUUUUCAUAUUUGGCAUACUUAAUUCGGCAACAAAUCACUUUUUGGAUUGAUCACAGUUUAUUAAAGCUUUUGCUUUUUCUUUCUUAAAAAAAAAAAAUAUAUAUAUAUAUAGAUAGUUGCAUGAAGAGCUUUGGUAGAGCUUUCUGCACACCAGACAGCAACAAUACACCAGCAUGUAUAACAUUGUUUGAUAGACUUUUGCGCAUGUAUCAUGCACAUGAUAAGGAACUCAGUUAUUAGAAAUAACAUCAAGCAUUGUACAUUAUGACCUAUUAAGCUGUGAACAUCUGGACCAGUGUGCUCUCUCAAACUGGUCAAACGUUUGUCAUCAAACCUAUACCUAACUAUAACGACCGUACUUUCCAUGACUGUCAUUAUUACCACAACCAUGGUUAUUAUUUGUUGCAGUGGCAGUAUGUGUAGUAAUAGUAUCUCCACUACAUGAAGAAAAUGUAAGAUUUUGACCAAUAUCACAUGUUUGUCUUUUAUAUUUGCCCCUUUUUUAAAAAAAGGGCUCAAGCACUUUUCAUAAAGUCCGCUCUUCACUUCAUUACACACACAAACCUUUUCAUCCGUGCUGCUCACUUACAGUCAUGGAUUUUCUCCCUCUUGUCGAAGCACAGCGGCUCCUCGUCUCCUGCAGGCUGCAGCCGUGGUGUCGGGGCUCCACCUAGUGGUCACAAGUCAGAACUUCUUCCUGCUGUCCUGCCUGUGCGGCCAGUAGAAGUCUUUUCAAGUUGAACCAAACCAGUUUCAAAUACAUUUGGAAAGUGGUGUGACAUAGAAAGUCACGCAAAUGUAUCUAAGAAUAUACAGGAUAAAGCCUGCUCACUCAGUGUCUGCCCUCACUUUGAUUGCAGUUGGUUUUUAGGUAAAAAUGUACACACACAUAAAGAAAGAUCUACUGAUAGAAUUAUUUUACAACAUAUGGAGCUCAUGGACCAUCACAGCUCCACAUAUGUUGAGUGUUUAGACAAUAAAUCAGAAUCAAUUCGACUUUCUUUGCAGUGGCUUGAUUUAAAAAUGAAUGCUUAAUAAAAAAGCCUUUUGUGUAACA